rnacentral:rRNA from 1 species
AGGUUAAGUUAGAAAGGGCGCACGGCGGAUGCCUUGGCACUAGGAGCCGAUGAAGGACGGC